CGUAGGUGGCAAGCGUUGUCCGGAUUUAUUGGGUUUAAAGGGUGCGUAGGCGGCCCUGUAAGUCAGUGGUGAAAUAUCUCAGCUUAACUGAGAGGGUGCCAUUGAUACUGCGGGGCUUGAGUACAGAUGAGGUAGGCGGAAUUGACGGUGUAGCGGUGAAAUGCAUAGAUAUCGUCAAGAACUCCGAUAGCGAAGGCAGCUUACUAAGCUGUAACUGACGCUGAGGCACGAAAGUGUGGGGGAUCAAACAGGAUUAGAUACCCUGGUAGUCCACACUGUAAACGUUGAUGACUCGAUGUUGGCGAUACACAGCCAGCGUCCAAGAGCAAUCGUUAAGUCAUCCACCUGGGGAGUACGCCGGCAACGGUG
rnacentral:rRNA from 1 species